GAGCUAGUAAGGGGUGAAAGUGGUUAGGAUUUACCGAACGAAUCGGUUUCCGAAUCUAAUUGUAUAGGAUAUGGGAAGAGAAAACGUUGUCCAGUCAGAUACGAUAUACGAUAUGGUAUGAGCAUUUAGAGUUUAUUUCUUUCCUUUAUUUUGACGGACUUGCUUGGUCUCAGGCUGAGAAUCUAUAUUUCUCAGUCGACAUGUCUAAACCAUUGAAUAGGCUUGGAGAUGUGUGCAGGUUUUCCUUUUCUCAAUUCUUUGUAUGUGUUGUGUCCGCUUGCUUUUCUAAGCUGAUUAUUUUUCUUUUGAUCAAUCUUUUUGGUUCUUGUUCUAUUAUUUUUAUUUUUAUAUCAACGCUCGAGUAUUUUGGGGUGUACCUGUGGGUCCUCUGGAUUUUUGUUUUCAGUUCUAUGGGUGUUUAAUUACACUUAUUAAUACAUUAUUUAUUUACAUUCAACUAUUACAUUUUUACGUUGUUAGCUUUUCUUCAUUUGUCAACUCAUACACACCUAUAUAACACAUUUUCUACGGCUCAGUCGCAUGAGAAAUAUUGUUUCUCAGUUGGUUCAUUUACAAAGAUAGGAUACAUAGACAGACGACGGAAUUAAGUUCCCUUUUUCUUCAUUUGUCUUUUUUCAUUUCUUUUUUGUUUUAUUAUUUAUCCAGGAUAUUUACACAUUGCUUCGUUUUUAUUUUUUUCGCUCUCUUGAUUUUCUUUGUUCUUAUUUUUUCUUACUUGCAGUUCCAGUUUUCAGAACGGGAUUUAUAUCCCGGUUUACUCCCCGUUCGAUGUGACACAAAGAUUUAUCGCACCAUCGGACGAGUAAAAUUGCACGUGAAAUUUUGUGUGCAAAUUUGGAUUUUGAAAUGUGCAAUUAGAUAUUGCACCUUCGACGGCCAAAAUUGCACAUGUUUUUUGGGUACAAAUUUGGAUUUCGAAAUGCACAAUUGGAUAUUGCACCUUCAGAUGUCUAAAAUUGCACGUGAGAUUUUGUGUGCAAAUUUGGAUUUUGAAAUGUACAAUUGGAUAUUGCCCCAUCAGAUGGCUAAAAUUGCACGUGAAAUUUUGUGUGCAAAUUUGGAUUUUGAAAUGUGGAAUUGGAUAUUGCACCUUCAGACGGCUAAAAUUGCACAUGUUUUUUGUGUGCAAAUUUGGAUUUUGAAACGUGCAAUUGGAAUUGCCCUUCGGACGGCUAAAAUUUCGCGUGCAAUUUUUAGAAUCGAGCACAAAACUUCAGUGCAAUUAUUAGAAUCGC
rnacentral:lncRNA from 1 species